GUGAACUCUUCAACUGCAUUUUGUCACAGGAAUAUCGGGGCUGGGGAUUUAGCUCAGCGGCAAAAGCGCCUGCCUGGCAAGCGCAAGGUCGUGAGUUCGGUUCCCGGUUCUGGAGAAAAACAAAAACAAAAUAAAAUAGGAAUAUCUUUGAGAUUUCUUCAAAAUUCUAAAAGAGAACAGGAACACCUCAGGGCCAGUCCACAUGGUCUCUCUGUAAGCACAGAACGAGUGGGUGAAGGAUGCAACAAAAUGAAAGAUCAGAUGAUUUGUCUUAUAAAGACAUUUAAUGUGGCUUUUAAAAGCCAAAUGAAACAUGUAUGUGGGCCAAUAUUAAAGCUAACACUCAUUUUUUAAUUUUAAAGAAAGAAAAAUAAAAGCAACAAAGCAGAGUUUCCAAACAGGUUAGUAGAGGAGUUACAGUAACAAUCAUUCUUUUAAAAUUUAUCUUGUUUGAUCUAAGGAUAUAUUGUACUUUGAGAUGCAGUAGUUAUAUUACAGAAUUUCAAGUUUUUAAAGAGUGAUAUAAACCAGGGGGCUGGGGAUUUAGCUCAGCGGCAAAAGCGCCUGCCUGGCAAGCGCAAGGUCGUGAGUUCGGUUCCCGGUCCCGGAGAAAAACCAAAAACCAAAACCAAAAAAAAAAAAAAAAGAGUGAUAUAAACCAUAAUGAAUGACAAAAGAAAAUGAAACCAUCUCUAUGUAUUAAAUUCAUGCUGGUAUAAGGAGAGAAAUAAAAACCAAAAAUAUAAUUUUUCAUCACUUCCAAAUGUAAAGCAAACUUUAAGAAAAUUAAACAAAUCUAUGUACAUGAACAAAAUCCAUUCCUGCUUUGUUAUGAUUCAUGACCCUUAGGAAUUUGACAGAACAUAUUGAUGAAAAACAAUUGUACAAUGAAAUAAUAAUAUAAAUAUUAAUAAAAUAAUUUUGUAUAAUAAAAAUAGUUUCAUAAGAGUCCAAUUUUCUUAUUUUAUCAUAUUCUUUAUGAUUUCAAAAUUAAAAUAGAAUAGCUAAUAUUUUCAUUCCAUGAAAUCUAGGUGAGAGAAAUUCCACAAUAAAACAUCUUUAAAUAAGUACAAACCAUACCUGAGAUCUACAAUGAUCUCUAGAAUGACUUUUUGGACAGAUGCCUUGUAAAAAUCUCCAUUAUGGACUGGGGCUAGAAUUCAGCAGCACAACACCUGCUGGACAAGCGUGAGGUCCUGAGUUCGAUUCCAGUGACCAAAAAAAAAAAAAAAAAAAUUUCCAUUAUUUAAGAAAUGUACUCACCUCUCCCGUCUCUCCACCAUUUUUCUUUCACAGGCUUCAUUAUGAAUGUAUAGAUAACGGGUUGCGUGAAAAUGACGGUCUGUGAAUACUCUUCUUAUAUUCCAGAGAUGUCCGUAUUAAAUUAGCUUUGUGUCAACAGUAAAAUAAAAGACCUUGUGACAAAAUGUGCAUUUUUCUUGAUCCACUAAGACUACUCCAGAAACGACCUUCUUCCCAGAACUAAAACGUUUAGCUCCUUUAUUCUGCUUUGCACGGACACUUCAUCUAUUAGUCAUUGACCAUUAGCAGACACAGAGGACCCAUGGGGUUUUCAAGUGGACUUUUCUUCUUCUCCUCACUCCCUCAGCAUGUGGCUCAGUUUUAUUUAGAGAAAUACCUGAAAGAACGUAUCCAAAAGUCUCACAUAGCACGUGAUCUGACCUUGACUUUCAAACAACACCUCUUUGGAUUCCCUUCUUGAUAUAUACCCAGAGAUUGCGGCAUGUUUGAAUCAGUUCAUUAUUUCUAUGUAGCCCUCUCAGUCAAAUUCCAUAAUCACACAAAAACUGGUUUCUUGAACACUUUUCUGUCUUUACAGGAUUUUUCAUCUUUCUUAAAUAUUACUCUUUUAUGGUUAUUUCUACCAUAGAACAAACACUUCUGUGUGUCAGAUACUUUAUAUAAGGGGCUUAUCAUUAUCCCUCUUUUCCAUCUGAUAAAAUGAAGUUCAGGAAUGCCAUCCAAAAUCCUCAGAGCAGCCUGCUGGAAGGUUUUAGAGGCACAAUCCAAAACUAGUCUGUCAGCUUUCAAGACAGAUAUGCUACUGAAUAUAAAACACUGACACUUUUGGCACCUUUAUCUUAUGUCAACUUAUAAAUCAUAUAAAAAGUUACCUAUGGCAGAUAAAAAUUAAAAUGUCUUAAUUUCAACUUCUAUUUUUAUGUAGCUUAUUUAAAAGUUUUUUAUGGAAAUUUACACAUGUAUUUAUGUAUAUAUGCACAUAUUUCUGUGUAUAUUUACUUAUUUUGCACUGAUACUCUUUUAUUACAUAGUAAUAAAAAAGAAUGCCUGAAUCAUUCUAAAAGGAUACAUAUCCUCAUAUUUAAAACCAAGCAAAAUGGACUAGUCAACUAAUUUAAAUAAGAACUUUGUUUUAUUUUCAAAUAUUAUUUUAAUUUAAAAAUAUGUACAGAUAUUAAGGUAUGGAAAAAUACCCAGAAGGGGUAUAGCUGGGUUAAAGGGGACCUCUAAUCCUAGUUUUGUGAGGAAUCUCUGAAAACUUCAUACCACAAUGAUAUAUGUGCACCCAUGUUUAUAGCAGUGCAAUUUGUCAUAGCUAAAUCUUGGAAACAGCCCAAAUGCCCAUCAGUGGAAGAAUGGAUGAAAAAGAUGUGGUAUUUUUAUACAAUGAAGUAUUACUCAGCUAUAAAAAAAAGAUAAACUCGAGGCUUUUAUAGGUAAAUGGAUGCAACUAGAGACAUACUCAUAAGUGAAAUGAAUCAGAUCUGCAUGUGUAAACAUUGUAUUGUCUCGCUAGUGUAAGAACCUGAAAGAGUGAAUAAAACCCAAAAGGUACAACAGAUAUAGUGAAAGGGAAGGAAACUACUCAAAAGGAAAGAACAACUGGGAUGGGGGAAAGGAGAAAAGAAACAAAAGAAGGAAGGGAAA
rnacentral:lncRNA from 1 species